AGAGGCCAAGAGAGUGGAGCCAGGAGCUGGUGGCGCAGGCAGAUGGAACAACAGAGACAGAGAACAGAGCCAGAGGAGUGGGCACGCAGCGAGGCCUGGCAGCCAAGCCCUGUGGGUUUCCGUGGGAAGCAGAUGCUUCCAGGGAGCAGCAACUGAUGGUCCUCAAGCACGUGGAUCCUUGUUGACUCCAGGCCCAGGGCAGCCUCCUUGGCAGCCAGCCUUAGCCCGGAGGAGCAACGCCUGUCCAGAGAGGCAGAUGAACAACAGCCCUGCCACUGUAGGGCUCCAAUGCUUCUCCUCUGUCCUCCUCCAGGCUCCACCAACCCCUGUGAGUCCCAGGAAGCCAUAAGCAGCCACAUCACGCUGGGGAGGAAGCGGACUGCAUUGGAGGGUUCCCUUUGAAUGGAUGGAGAUGGAGACCCUCAAAGAAGGAAGGACUCCCCAUGGCCCUAAGCAGACAAAUCACAGAACGAAGAUGACCACUCUGGGCUCCUGAUGUCCAGCACCUGUCCAUCAUUCAAGACCCUGCAGCUCCUGUGGCCUGCUGUGGGCACGGGGAAGGGACUCCGCUCAGGGACUGAGUCUCCUUACCACCCCAAGUUCCCGUGUCCCCUCAAAUGAGCCCUGAGGACAAGUGAAAGGAAUUGGGAAGAAACCCCAAGCAGUCAAUACCUCAGCAGAGGGAACCCAACAGUGCAGUUGAAACCUCACCGCUGAAUCUCUGAGGUCCAGAGAGAGGGCAGGAACAGCUGCAUCUUGAAGAAGGAAGACCUAGGACAUCAAUCACAUGAACAAACCCAAGCCAAGAACGUGGCAGCAUGGACACAGAUCACAGUAAGCACGAAGCACCAUGGAUCUGGGCUCCUGGACACUUUCCCCAAGCCCUAAAUAGUCUACUGGAUGAUGUCCCAGCACUGCAGAUAAGGCAGCAGGGCAUGAUAUUCCAGGGAUUUGGGGCUCAGCAUGUGAAGGUAGAAAUAGAUCCAACCCUGCUCAUACCACAAGCUCAGAAGCAGAAGGUGGCAGCCUUGAAUGAAGAUCUCAUUUCAGAGUUCUUAGCUUAGCACUGCCUUGGCCCAGGCAGCCUCUGGCCACCUCAGCACUGUCCCUCCCUGGCACC